UUUCUUUCCCUAUUUCAAAUUGUUUUCAUCUCUCAAAGAAGAAAAAUGGUAAGGCAGCAGAGGAAGGGAAAAAAGAUUAAAACUAUAGAUGUUCAGCCGGCCAAAAUGAUUGAGAACAGCUCAAGAUCCGAUAUGAUCAGUGAUUUGCCGGAUCAUAUCAUAGAUAACAUUCUAAUUUGUAUGCCGAUUCAAGAAGCUGUGAGGACUAGCAUCUUGUCAAAGAAAUGGAGGUUCAAGUGGAGAUAUCUUCCCAAAUUGAUACCAGACUGUUAAACCCGCGGAGCUUUUCGAAAGUCUGCCUGUCGUCGAGCACUUGCGUCUCGGAUUUUACUUUUUCUGCUACUUCCUUCAUGGAGGCCUGCCGAAGAAACUUUCUCUUGGCUGUGUUAGGGUUCUUGAACUUGUUGAAAUAUGUUUUGGGUGGACGGAUAUUAUCUCUUCUAUUCUUUGCUUGAUUAUGAGCUUUCCUAACUUAGAGAAGCUUGAGCUUGAGGCUGUUGGUACAACUGUUGAGGACGAGGAUUAUCUGUUGAGGAACUUUUAGAAGAUGUACAAGGCAUCUUACAUAAUGCACUGAAAAAACUUCGGGUGGUGAAGAUGAAUCUCGCAGAAACAGUAGAAGUAAAACCCGAACUUGAAUUUAUUAAGUUUCUAUUGCGUGAAUCAGUUGUACUAGAAAAGAUGUUUAUACAGCCUACCAACAGAACAGCUGCUGAGGGAGGACUGAAGAUUGUGAAAAAGAUACGUCGAUUUUCAACGUUCGUCAAAGAAAGCAAAAAUUGUAUACUUAGAUACUGAUGAUGAUGGCAGUAAAGGUUAGGAUGCUAUUUAUGCCUGAAAAUCAAAUAAUUUUUCCUGUGUUUCUGAUUUACAUAGAAUCAGGUGUUACAAUUCUAAUGUUUAUUCAUGAAGAUGCUGUUUAUGAUUAUAGAGAAUGUUAAAGUUGUCUGUCCUAUUAAAAUUUAAGUAUCAUUUUGCUCCAUAAAUUUGCAUACUUUGGCCAAUUAAUAGAAAAACAAUUUUGUUAUUA